CUGCUGCCUUAGUCCUACAGAAAUCCUGCGCUUUGGAUUUGUGCCACCUUCUGUAAGUUGAAAGCUUCUGGACCAAGUGCGGCAGUGAGAUGGAGUCAGAAGAGGAGGUAUUGCCAUCAGAGAGUCAGCAAAGGUGGUUGACCAAGCCCAAAGGAGGGUGCUGAGGGGAGUUGAUGACCUGGACUUUUUCAUAGGGGAUGAAGCCAUAGAUAAACCCACGUAUGCCACAAAGUGGCCAAUAAGACAUGGAAUAAUUGAAGACUGAGAUCUAAUGGAGAGGUUCAUGGAACAAGUUAUUUUUAAUUUUCCCUGAGCUGAACCUGAGGGCCAUCACUUUUUGAUGAAACCUUCCUAGCAGAUUUGCCCUGUCUGUCCGCGCCCAGUGUGGGCCCUAUAGGGGAACAAAAUUACUUUGGUACAUUUUGAUGAGUCAAGAUUCUCUCCUGUUGCUGGUGAGGGGACCACAUCUCAUCACCUGGCCCCAAGAGAGAUGUUAGUGCUGUCCUGUGACCUCACUGAUCCUGGAUUACCCCUCUAGGGGCUUCAUCUCCAAACACAGUCACCUGAGGGUUGCAGCUUCAGCAUAAGAGUUUUGGGACACACAGCUCAGUAUAUAACAAAGGACAGAACCUCCUCUGAAUACACCAGAAAAUAGAGAAUAUCUUGCAGAAAUUAUGUUCAAAUUAUUUAAUGUACCAGGACUCUACAUUGCAGUUCAGGUGGAAGGUUAGGUAAUUGGAAGCUGCAUCAAACACAUCCCUAUUGCAGGUAGAGAUAUGUAUUUCAUUCAACAGCUGCCAAGGGAGAGGGAGGUGGGAAUCCCUCCUGAGCAACCACUGGAGACCGCAAAGGCCAUUAAGGAGAAGUACUGUCACAUUUGCCCCAAUAUAGUCAAGAAGUUUGCCAAGUAUGACGUGGAUCAGCGGAAGUGGAUCAAACAGCAAACAGGGAACAAUGCCAUAAGCCAGAAGAAAUUCAUUAUCGAUGUUGGCUAGGAAAGUUUCCCAGGCCCUGAAAUUUUCUUUCACCCAGAGAUACUGAUUAACAUGCCAAGUAUAAUGCCUGGCCCAGGAAGCUCAGGAGAUGAAUCAAAUAACUUGACCAUGAAGGAGCACUGAGGAGGAGGCAGAGAUGAUCUAUGGCAUGGGUAUUAUAAUAGGCGUACUACAAGGCUCAGAGGCAGUGCAGAGGAAGAAAUGAGGAGCUCUUGGAAGUGGUGGGCAGAGGGCAAGUGUUUGGAAUGUUCUUUAAGAAUAGGUACACUUGAACUGACUCUUAAAAGAUGGGCAGGUGUUUGACAAGGCAAUGUGAACACCACAGAUAGAGGGGAGUGAAGCCACCUGGAAUCCUUCCUCUCUGCACUGCAAACAGUUUGGGAUGGUUGGUGCAUAUGGCACGUGACUGUGCACAUUCUGUCCAUGUUGUGUGCACUGAUGAUUUAGAAAUGACAGAAGGGCAAGUGGUGAAGCUGGAGAGUUGCAGAAGCACACAGAGGAAGACUGCCUUACAUGGUUCUUCAAGGUAUUUGGACAUGAUCCUGUGGCAAAGCAAGUCAUUACAUGAUUAUUAAACUAAGCAGUAUUGGUGUGGAA